rnacentral:rRNA from 1 species
CCUACGGGAGGCAGCAGUGGGGGAUAUUGGACAAUGGGGGGAACCCUGAUCCAGCGACGCCGCGUGAGUGAAGAAGUAUCUCGGUAUGUAAAGCUCUAUCAGCAGGGAAGAAGAAAUGACGGUACUUGAGUAAGAAGCCCCGGCUAACUACGUGCCAGCAGCCGCGGUAAUACGUAGGGGGCAAGCGUUAUCCGGAAUUACUGGGGGGAAAGGGAGCGUAGACGGUGAUGUAAGUCUGGAGUGAAAGGCUGGGGCCCAACCCCCGGACUGCUCUGGAAACUAUGUGUCUGGAGUGCAGGAGAGGUGAGCGGAAUUCCUAGUGUAGCGGUGAAAUGCGUAGAUAUUAGGAGGAACACCAGUGGCGAAGGCGGCUCACUGGACUGUAACUGACGUUGAGGCUCGAAAGCGUGGGGAGCAAACAGGAUUAGAUACCCUUGUAGUC